AGACCAAUUUAUGCAGAAAUCCUGGGAUUUCCAAAGGGUUCAUAUACUUUUUCUUGCCACUGUAUGUCUUUUAGUUCAAUAUUCUACUGCAAUCCACCAGGAUUUACAAAACCCUAUUUUUAUCCCAUUUAUUUCCAUCAAUAAUUAAUCAAAUUAUUGCACCUGAAUUUAACCCUGAAAAUAUUACAAUUAUAUUUUCCCCUAAUUGUUUUACGUAAUUAACCUUUUACUCCAAUGGGCUAACUCAGGGUCACACAGAGUGUUUCUUGGUAGUCUUAAAACAAAUCUACUUUGAAACAAAAGUAUACACCUCACACACAUGGUUAUGGGCUUAAAAAAAGAAGACACCUGUACCAUGUCAGAUAUAGAGUUUAAAUGUCCUCAAUUUUGAAUUUGCAUACCAAUAUUACAGUGUAUAUACAUCCCAGAAGACUGAAAUUUAACAAAACCGUUUGACAUAAAAACAUCAGAUUUUCAGCAUUAAAAAAAAAUCAAAGAAAUAAAAUAAGAAUUAUGAAAUUAUGAAAAAUAUUAAUACAAUUCCACCCAUGAGGCCACUAGAGGGAAAUUUGGUCAUUUAACUGCAGGAAAGGGGUCUACCAUAAUGGUGCACUAAUUUAAUUUUAAUUUCAGUAGCUAAAUAAGAAGGUAGGCCAACUAAAACUUGGAUUGGAAUCUGUGCCUCACACGCAGAAAUAAAUCUCUGCGCGCAAGCAGCCUGCUUGCUCGAGCCGUCACAUGCCCGGUAGGCUACACAACAACACAGCUGGAAAACAACGACAGUUUCUUGAAAUGUACACAAAAAACUUCCAAAAGAUUUGACCGCUAAUUAGUUGUCCCUGUUCUCCUGCAUUCAUGUUGUAACUUUUGUAAGUAAUGCAGCUGUCUGUUGGGGAGAAAAACAUCAACUAAAGUUUUGCUAGCUGGCUAACGUUAGCGCUCUGGCUAAUCCUCCAUGGACAUGGAAUCUUCUAGAUUGGAUGGAAGGAUGGAAGAGUGAACAAAGGGAAAGAGUACAGUAGUUAUCCAGCCUUUCCUGAAACAUGUCAAUGACCUGAUGCAUGGCCUCUACAGCAGUCCUUGGCCACCUACUGCGUUACCAGUGAUCUAUUCUGCCACAUCCCAGCUAAAGAAGAAAGGAAAGAGAUUUUCCAAUUACACCAAUUUCUAACAAUGUUUGUUGCAGGAAUGAUAUGACAUACAAACAUAACUUUAGAAAAACAUAAUAUUUUAUUGUCUCUCUAUACAUACCUCGAUUUUUGCAUUUACCUUUCUUUUUUUAAGACUGCCAAGCUGUCCUCAAUUUUGGGAACUUCUGUCUGGGACAACGUCCUCAGGAUUAUGGAGUGCUUACAGUAAGUGCAAUGAAAAGCCAGAAAACUCAGGAGGUUGAAGUUCUGAAAUAUGCCGUUGACGUCAGGGUGGAUGAGGACGCAAAAGCUGACACAUCACACCACUCUUCAAGAGGGCCACUACGCGCCAGAUCGACUUCUGUGCUCAGUCCUUGAUGAGGAUCUACCACAUUACACCACUAAUUAAUCAUUGAUACAAUUUUUUUUAAAUGGGCCUUUAUAUACUCUGUCCCAGUCUUUCUAUGCAUGUAACGUCUUGGAUUAUGAAACAAUUGCUGUAUGCAGAUGUGCUAAAAACGUUAAAUGUAAGAAUAUGCUGUGGCUAUGGAAACAAAUAUAAAUGUAAUGAACAAUGUUUUUAAUAUACAACUUUUUCCUCUGCAAUACUUUUUACAGUAGGUAAUAAGCUGUAGUCAGGUGGUCAUUACCAGGUUAUGAUGAGGUCUUAACUAUGAUCAGUACAUAAUAAAGCACAUAAUACAGUGGUCACAA